GAGAGCAGAGCUCUAUAAGACUGCACUACAGAGAGCAUCAAAACACCAGAGGAUAGUAAGAGAGAUUUCUGAAACAAACGGCCAGCAAGUUGAGAAGUUCUGACGCCAUAACACAAACACUGUUUAAUGAAUCUAAUGAGACUCUACAAGUGAUUUAAAGUGUGCAAAGGCAGAAAAACCAGCAAUCAAAGACCAACCAAAGGGUUCCCCAACUUUAUGAAAAGACUGAAUUACAAGCAGCUUCCUCUAGUCAAGGGCAAGACCGGUCAUUUGUGAAAGCCUCCAGGCCAUCUGUGAGAGACAGAGCUGCUCUCUACCUGUCAAAAGCAGCAGCUGCAGACUCCCCAGGAUCCACCACACAACAAGAUAGUCUGGUUCAUAAGCAUACUAUUGUGUCUGGAAAGAAAACAAAACACAAGGUAUGGCUUUCAUAUUUCAU